GACGAACGCUGGCGGCGUGCUUAACACAUGCAAGUCGAACGGAAAGGCCCUGCUUUUGUGGGGUGCUCGAGUGGCGAACGGGUGAGUAACACGUGAGUAACCUGCCCUUGACUUUGGGAUAACUUCAGGAAACUGGGGCUAAUACCGGAUAGGAGCUCCUGCUGCAUGGUGGGGGUUGGAAAGUUUCGGCGGUUGGGGAUGGACUCGCGGCUUAUCAGCUUGUUGGUGGGGUAGUGGCUUACCAAGGCUUUGACGGGUAGCCGGCCUGAGAGGGUGACCGGCACAAUGGGGACGGAGAUACGCCCCAGACUCCUAGGGGGGGCAGAAGUGGGGAAUAUGGCACAAGGGGCGGAAGCCUGAUGCAGCAACGCCGCGGGCGGGAGGACGGCCUUCGGGUUGUAAACCGCUUGCGCCGGUGACGAAGCGGGAGUGACGGUAAUGGGUAAAGAAGCACCGGCUAACUACGUG
rnacentral:rRNA from 1 species